AACGAACGCUGGCGGCAGGCUUAACACAUGCAAGUCGAGCGGGGUUUUCGGACCUAGCGGCGGACGGGUGAGUAAUGCGUAGGAAGCUGCCCGAUAGAGGGGGAUACCAGUUGGAAACGACUGUUAAUACCGCAUAAUGUCUACGGACCAAAGUGUGGGACCUUCGGGCCACAUGCUAUCGGAUGCGCCUACGUGGGAUUAGCUAGUUGGUGAGGUAAUGGCUCACCAAGGCGACGAUCUCUAGCUGGUUUGAGAGGAUGAUCAGCCACACUGGAACUGAGACACGGUCCAGACUCCUACGGGAGGCAGCAGUGGGGAAUAUUGGACAAUGGGCGCAAGCCUGAUCCAGCCAUGCCGCGUGUGUGAAGAAGGCCUUCGGGUUGUAAAGCACUUUCAGCGAGGAGGAAGGGUGGUGUGUUAAUAGCACAUCAUUUUGACGUUACUCGCAGAAGAAGCACCGGCUAACUCUGUGCCAGCCGCCGCCGUAAUAC
rnacentral:rRNA from 1 species